rnacentral:lncRNA from 1 species
GGCGGGCGCCGGGCCGAGCUGACCGGCGGCGGGUGCGCUGCCCUCGCCUCCCCCAUUGUUCCGACUGUCUUUUUGCCUUUUGUUAUUUGCACUCGCAUUGUGUUGUUUGUCUCUGAAGCCGCCUCAUGACCAGCCAAGGGAUUUCACCUCGUCCUUGAGAGCUACACGGGGAGCGCGAGCGAGCGAGCCAGAGACUGGGGGAGAGGGACGCGCGCGCGCACACACAGACACACACACACAGACACACAUACAGAGUGAAAAAGGCGAGCCACCAAACCCAUCUCCAGUCUCCUCCCGGGGGGCCCCCCAGCCCGCCACUGUGCCACUUUGCAUCCCGCGCCCGAGGAGACGCAGAGGAAAGCCGGUAAGGCUUCUUAAUCAUCCACGGUGUAAAGACACACUUCAAGAGGAUCUUUAGAAGUGUUGGACAAGCUUCACCACGCGUGGCAGAGCCAUCCAACCUGUUCUUCCCAGUGUUAAAGAACUUGCCUGCCGAUGCAGGAGACAAAAGAGAUCUCAGAAGAUCCCCUGGAGGAGGGCGUGGCAAUCCGUUUCAGUGUUCUUGCCUGGGAAAUCCCAUGAACAGAGGAGCCUAGCAGUCCAUAGGGUUGCAAAGAGUUGGACAUGACUGAAAUGACUUACUACGCAUGCAGCCAGUUCUUAGGACUUUAAAAAAAUUUUUGGUUUUGGUCUAGCCCUUUUCUUUGGAAUUUCAUGCCUAUUCAAUGAAGGUGCCUUAAUUGAAUCUCCUAGUUUAACAUCUGAUCAUUUAAGCUCCACUAGGUGUGAUCACUGACCUAGAGCCAGACAUCCUGGAAUGUGAAGUCAAGUGGGCCUUAGAAAGCAUCACUAUGAACAAAGCUAGUAGAGGUGAUGGAAUUCCAGUUGAGCUAUUCCAAAUCCUGAAAGAUGAUGCU